UCUUGAUUUUGUUCCCCAUAGGCAACGCCUUACGUGGUCCGUCAGCUGCUGCUCCCAUCCAGCUGGACUCUCUGGGCACCGCGAGGGACUGCGUCUCCGUACGGCGCCCAGCGAUACAGCUUUACUUACGGGAUGAAAUUUGGACCCAAACCUGCAGGCUGGAAGUGGUUAAAACGCGCCUAGGCCAAACGCUGCUCUUGUCGCACUGCUGUCUGUCAGUCCAGAUCUCGGCUGUUGAAUGUGAUGGGCUUAUUUCCAGGGGUGCCACUCAGGACCUGGGCGAUAGAUGAGUUGCCCGAGGCCGCGUGCUCUCGCAGGGGGUUCAGCUGGGUUCUGCAGAGGCUCGCAGCUACAUGCAGCGCCGGGCAGGAUUCGGUCCAUCAGAGCACCGCAGGAUUUAGGCGCAAGUUUACUUUUGCGUAUGGGAUCAAAGCUUAAAGUAUCAGCUGGCCUUUCUCUCGCUCCUGACUUUUCUAAAACAUCUGAACAAUUUCUUCUUUAACUGUUAAAAUCAAUCAAUCUGACGUUUAAAUUGUAUGUGAAUUUGAUAAAUAAAGACAGGUUACAAAAUGCCA